UUUUUUUUUUUUUUUUUUUUUUUUUUUUUUUUAA
rnacentral:ribozyme from 1 species